CUAGUAGCGGCGAGCGAAGCGGGAAGAGCUCAAAUUUAUAAUCUGGCACCUUCGGUGUCCGAGUUGUAAUCUCUAGAAAUGUUUUCCGCGUUGGACCGCACACAAGUCUGUUGGAAUACAGCGGCAUAGUGGUGAGACCCCGGUAUAUGGUGCGGACGCCCAGCGCUUUGUGAUACAUUUUCGAAGAGUCGAGUUGUUUGGGAAUGCAGCUCAAAUUGGGUGGUAAAUUCCAUCUAAAGCUAAAUAUUGGCGAGAGACCGAUAGCGAACAAGUACCGUGAGGGAAAGAUGAAAAGCACUUUGGAAAGAGAGUUAACAGUACGUGAAAUUGUUGGAAGGGAAACGCUUGAAGUCAGACUUGCUUGCCGAGCAAUCGGUUUGCAGGCCAGCAUCAGUUUUCCGGGAUGGAUAAUGGUAGAGAGAAGGUAGCAGUUUCGGCUGUGUUAUAGCUCUCUGCUGGAUACAUCUUGGGGGACUGAGGAACGCAGUGUGCCUUUGGCGGGGGUUUCGACCUCUUCACACUUAGGAUGCUG
rnacentral:rRNA from 1 species